rnacentral:rRNA from 1 species
CAUGCAAGUCGACGCAAGUCUAACUUGAGUGGCGGACGGGUGAGUAACACGUGAGAAUUCACCUUUAGGCGGGGAAUAACUAUUGGAAACGAUAGCUAAUGCCCCAUAUGCUCAUAUGAGUGAAAAGAAUUUUUCUACCUGAAGAGAAGCUCGCGGCUGAUUAGCUAGUUGGUAAGGUAAUGGCUUACCAAGGCGACGAUCAGUAGCUGGUUUGAGAGAAUGAUCAGCCACACUGGAACUGAGACACGGUCCAGACUCCUACGGGAGGCAGCAGUGGGGAAUUUUCCGCAAUGGGCGAAAGCCUGACGGAGCAAUACCGCGUGAGGGAGAAAGGCUUUCGGGUUGUAAACCUCUUUUAUCAAGGAAGAAAUUUUGACGUGUACUUGAUGAAUAAGCAUCGGCUAACUCCGUGCCAGCAGCCGCGGUAAGACGGAGGAUGCAAGUGUUAUCCGGAAUUAUUGGGCGUAAAGCGUCUGUAGGUGGUUUAAAAAGUCGACGGUUAAAUAUUGAAGCUUAACUUCAAAACUGCCGUGGAAACUUUUAAACUAGAGUAUGAUAGGGGUAGAGGGAAUUUCCAGUGGAGCGGUGAAAUGCGUAGAUAUUGGAAAGACCACCGAUGGCGAAAGCACUCUACUGGGUCAUUACUGACACUAAGAGACGAAAGCUAGGGGAGCAAAUGGGAUUAGAUACCCCAGUAGUCCUAGCUGUAAACGAUGGAUACAUGCAAGUCCAUGCAAGUCCAUGCAAGUCCAUGCAAGUCACGCG